CUGCAGCAGCCUCUGCUUGGACAUCAGAAUGGAGUCCGGGAGUUGCCCUUGUGCCGGGUGAAGGAGGAGAAAAGGGCCCGCAGGAGGCAGGAGGGAGUUGCUGGCACAGGGACCCAGGGACUCGGACAGACCAGCAGGGAGUGAGGCCGGAGAGCGGGGAGUAAGGCCGGAAGGAGAGAAAGCCAAAACCAGAGGAACAGAAACCAAGAAUAACCAGAAUUUCUGAAGACUUCUUGGAAAUCGGGAAUUCCAGCUUCCCAGUUCCAAGGAUAAAAGUUGGCAAUGAACCCCUUAAGAGGAGCCAUGAACACACCUAAAACUUUCAAACGGACACCGAGGAGCCCCCAACGGCAUUUCAAGUGCCCAGGCUGGAAGCAGUACCUGUCCAAGAACCUCCAGCUACUCUAGUGGAU
rnacentral:lncRNA from 1 species